GGCUGGGUGGCGGAAUUGGCAGACGCUGGGGACUUAAAAUCCCUUGCCAGUAAUGGCGUAUGGGUUCGAGUCCCAUCUAAGCUACCA
rnacentral:tRNA from 1 species